AUUGAACGCUGGCGGCAUGCCUUACACAUGCAAGUCGAACGGUAACGCGGGGCAACCUGGCGACGAGUGGCGAACGGGUGAGUAAUGCAUCGGAACGUGCCCAGUAGUGGGGGAUAGCCCGGCGAAAGCCGGAUUAAUACCGCAUACGACCUAAGGGUGAAAGCGGGGGAUCGCAAGACCUCGCGCUAUUGGAGCGGCCGGUGUCAGAUUAGGUAGUUGGUGGGGUAAAGGCCUACCAAGCCGACGAUCUGUAGCUGGUCUGAGAGGACGACCAGCCACACUGGGACUGAGACACGGCCCAGACUCCUACGGGAGGCAGCAGUGGGGAAUUUUGGACAAUGGGCGCAAGCCUGAUCCAGCCAUGCCGCGUGCGGGAAGAAGGCCUUCGGGUUGUAAACCGCUUUUGUCAGGGAAGAAAUCCUCUGGGUUAAUACCUCGGGGGGAUGACGGUACCUGAAGAAUAAGCACCGGCUAACUACGUGCCAGCCGCCGCGGUAACAC
rnacentral:rRNA from 1 species